GUAAAUGCGAAGAUGGGGAGCGUAAUCGUGUCUGCAUAUCAGAGAGCUGUCGGGUGGUGUGAGACAGCAUGCAAAGCGGUGAAAAAUCACCCCUGAGCGGGCCAUCGAACCACAGUAGAAUGGCACGGUUUUCCUCCGUUAGAAGGAAACGCUGUUUUUUGACGGCGGUUUGAGUGGGUGCUUUGCACCAAUUAGAGUGGUAACGCGGAGAGUUAAUGUCUUCGUCUCGGAA
rnacentral:ncRNA from 1 species